rnacentral:rRNA from 1 species
UACGUAGGGUGCGAGCGUUGUCCGGAAUUAUUGGGCGUAAAGCGCGUGUAGGCGGCUUUGCAAGUCGGGUGUGAAAUCCCUCAGCUCAACUGAGGAAGUGCGCCCGAAACUGCUUAGCUUGAGUGCCGGAGAGGAUGGCGGAAUUCCCCAAGUAGAGGUGAAAUUCGUAGAUAUGGGGAGGAACACCGGUGGCGAAGGCGGCCACCUGGACGGUAACUGACGCUGAGACGCGAAAGCGUGGGGAGCAAACAGG